rnacentral:rRNA from 1 species
GAGUUUGAUCCUGGCUCAGGAUGAACGCUGGCGGCGUGCCUAAUACAUGCAAGUCGAGCGAACGGACGAGAAGCUUGCUUCUCUGAUGUUAGCGGCGGACGGGUGAGUAACACGUGGAUAACCUACCUAUAAGACUGGGAUAACUUCGGGAAACCGGAGCUAAUACCGGAUGAUAUUUUGAACCGCAUGGUUCAAAAGUGAAAGACGGUCUUGCUGUCACUUAUAGAUGGAUCCGCGCUGCAUUAGCUAGUUGGUAAGGUAACGGCUUACCAAGGCAACGGUGCAUAGCCGACCUGAGAGGGUGAUCGGCCACACUGGAACUGAGACACGGUCCAGACUCCUACGGGAGGCAGCAGUAGGGAAUCUUCCGCAAUGGGCAAAGCCUGACGGAGCAACGCCGCGUGAGUGAUGAAGGUCUUCGGAUCGUAAAACUCUGUUAUUAGGGAAGAACAUAUGUGUAAGUAACUGUGCACAUCUUGACGGUACCUAAUCAGAAGCCACGGCUAACUACGUCG